rnacentral:rRNA from 1 species
GACGAACGCUGGCGGCGUGCUUAACACAUGCAAGUCGAGCGGUAAGGCCCUUUCGGGGGUACACGAGCGGCGAACGGGUGAGUAACACGUGGGUGACCUGCCCCUCAGCUCUGGGAUAAGCCUGGGAAACCGGGUCUAAUACCGGAUAUGACUCCAUGACGCAUGUUGUGGGGUGAAAGCCUUGUGCGGCUGAGGAUGGGCCCGCGGCCUAUCAGCUUGUUGGUGGGGUGAUGGCCUACCAAGGCGACGACGGGUAGCCGGCCUGAGAGGGCGACCGGCCACACU